GAUGAACGCUGGCGGCGUGCCUAAUACAUGCAAGUCGAGCGAACAGACGAGGAGCUUGCUCCUCUGACGUUAGCGGCGGACGGGUGAGUAACACGUGGAUAACCUACCUAUAAGACUGGGAUAACUUCGGGAAACCGGAGCUAAUACCGGAUAAUAUAUUGAACCGCAUGGUUCAAUAGUGAAAGACGGUUUUGCUGUCACUUAUAGAUGGAUCCGCGCCGCUUUAGCUAGUUGGUAAGGUAACGGCUUACCAAGGCGAGGAUGCGUAGCCGACCUGAGAGGGUGAUCGGCCACACUGGAACUGAGACACGGUCCAGACUCCUACGGGAGGCAGCAGUAGGGAAUCUUCCGCAAUGGGCGAAAGCCUGACGGAGCAACGCCGCGUGAGUGAUGAAGGUCUUCGGAUCGUAAAACUCUGUUAUUAGGGAAGAACAAAUGUGUAAGUAACUAUGCACGUCUUGACGGUACCUAAUCAGAAAGCCACGGCUAACUACGUG
rnacentral:rRNA from 1 species